AUUGGACGCUGGCGGUAUGCUUAAGACAUGCAAGUCGAACGGAAUCUUCGGAUUCAGUGGCGGACGGGUGAGUAACACGUGGGAAUCUACUGAGUAGUGGGGGACAGCCCGGCGAAAGCCGGAUUAAUACCGCAUACGCCCUACGGGGAAAGGCGCAAGCCGCUAUUUAAUGAGCCCGCGUAAGAUUAGCUAGUUGGUGAGGUAAAGGCCCACCAAGGCAACGAUCUUUAGCUGGUCUGAGAGGAUGGCCAGCCACAUCGGGACUGAGACACGGCCCGGACUCCUACGGGAGGCAGCAGUCGGGAAUAUUGGACAAUGGGCGCAAGCCUGAUCCAGCAAUACCGCGUGUGUGAAGAAGGCCUGCGGGUUGUAAAGCACUUUCAGUUGGGAAGAUAAUGACGUUACCAACAGAAGAAGCACCGGCUAACUCCGUGCCAGCAGCCGCGGUAAAGU
rnacentral:rRNA from 1 species